rnacentral:lncRNA from 1 species
GCCAACCUCAUAUAAACCCAUGCACACCCACACCACACACCCAUCCAAACACACUCUCUCACACACACACUCCGGCCGAGUACAGAACACACACAGAGAUGGACUUUCUGAAAGGAUCUGGGAAGCAGGUGGAUGCAGUGAUCGACAAAGCAGCUGUUGUGGUGAAGGAGAAGGUGGGAGAGAUGAUCGGAGGAGGAGCUAAGGAGGAGAAGAAAGAUGAAGGUAUUGGUGGCAAGGUGUCUGAUGUUGUGGUUGUUCCUCCAGGUAUUGGUGGCAUGGUGUCUAAUGCCGUGAAAGGGGCUGCAGCAGAUGCAGCUAUGGACAGUGCUGCAGACAAGGCCAUGUCUUUCGGAAAGAGCCUUUUCAACUGAAUCCCCAAACAUGGACUGAACCAUGUCUCAACCCUGGACUGUACCAUGUCUCAACCCCGGACUGUACCAUGUCUCAACCCCGGACCGUCCUUCCCAUCAACCAAUCCCAUCUUUAUACUAUUACUGAGAUCUGUAUAAUGUUUAUAGGAUGUCAUAAACAUGAAUAAAACACCAAUCUUUCAACAC